GACGAACGCUGGCGGCGUGCCUAAUACAUGCAAGUUGAGCGCUGAAGGUUGGUACUUGUACCAAUUGGAUGAGCAGCGAACGGGUGAGUAACGCGUGGGGAAUCUGCCUUUGAGCGGGGGACAACAUUUGGAAACGAAUGCUAAUACCGCAUAAAAACUUUAAACACAAGUUUUAAGAUUGAAAGAUGCAAUUGCAUCACUUAAAGAUGAUCCCGCGUUGUAUUAGCUAGUUGGUGAGGUAAAGGCUCACCAAGGCGAAGAUACAUAGCCGACCUGAGAGGGUGAUCGGCCACAUUUGGACUGAGACACGGCCCAAACUCCUACGGGAGGCAGCAGUAGGGAAUCUUCGGCAAUGGACGAAAGUCUGACCGAGCAACGCCGCGUGAGUGAAGAAGGUUUUCGGAUCGUAAAACUCUGUUGGUAGAGAAGAACGUUGGUGAGAGUGGAAAGCUCAUCAAGUGACGGUAACUACCCAGAAAGGGACGGCUAACUACGUG
rnacentral:rRNA from 1 species